AGAAGGCACUACUGGAUCAUGUAAAGUCAACGGAAAGGUCUUCUAAUUCUCUCAUCAAAUGGAAUUAAAAAGAUGAAGUGAAGCUCUCUAUCAAAUAACUUGUUCACUUAAAUUCAUUUUACUUGCCAUUAUAGAUUUUGAACUACUUUAAUCUCUGAACUGUUAAAAAAAUUAGCUUGUUUUCUUGCUUGUGUCUGCCAUUCCAAUCUUAUCAGGAUGAUGCAAUAUGUGCCUUCCUAUGUGAUAAUAAAUUUGAAACCAAAUUCCACAGUUUCGCUUUCUUUCAUGUUUGAUGUGCUAGUAUCUUUAGGUUAUCUUUGAAUGAGAGAAAUGAAAUGAUUUGUUUGAUUGGCUUGAUAUAUAUCUAUAUUUAAUGGUAAUUGGAGAUAUGUUUUGAGUGAUUAGGAAUAUUAGUCCUUCUGGUGCAUACAGGGUUUCUAUUAGUAGUAGUAGUUUUAAGUUGGUUAAGUAUUUGUGAGGCAAUAGUGUAACUUUAAAAAGUCAAUCAAAUAGUAAAAUGCAUUAAGGUGAGUUUCAUGCAUGGCCUGCUUAUUAACAUCAUAUUCCAUAAAAGUAUAGACACCAAGAGAGCUGAUAUUGUUGGUUAGGUGAGUAGGGUCGGGCGUCUCAGGACCAAGCUAAUAAUUGGCCAUAAUAGUAGCUUUAUUUUAUUAAAAUAAUUUCUUUACACCAAAUUAAUGGUAUUAAUUUUAAUAUUCUCAAGUCAUACCUGAUCUGAAUUUGAUUAUUUGUUUUGGAUAAUGGAAGCGUUUGCAAUUCUGCGUGCAAAUAAUUUUUAUAUUGUAUUAUUAUCAUUGAUUUUAUAGAUUUAGAAAUAUAUAUAAUAUAAUUUCUUAUUUCUUAAUUCAUCAAUUUUUUUUAUUUUAAUUUCUCAAACAGAUAUAAGUCAUAAUCGUUGUCAAGUCAAGAUUUAUAUUGAAUCAAACUAAUUUAAUUAGAUACAAUUAAUUUAUGAAAAUUUAAUAUUUAAUUUAAAUCUAAAAAAUAAAAUAAGAAACAAUCAAACCAACUGGUUUAACCUGUGGUCUAGUUUCUUUAACAUUGGCAUUUAUGUCCUUUAAUGUCGAACUUCUACAUUUAUGUCUUUCAUUUUGAAUUUUUAUAUGAUAGUAGUGUUAAUCAAUUCUUUGUCCCUUGUUAUGCUAUUAGUUCCUUUGUUUUGCAUUUUCUUUUUUUCUUUUUUUGCCAAAGCCACUUGUCCCAGGUGUCAUGUUUUUUUAUGCAUUUCCUUGGCUAUGGGGUUUUGCUUGGUAGUUAUGCAGCUAUUUAUUGAAAGUUGAAACUCAUGCCUGUUUUAUGAAUGCUUACAUGCAUGGCAAGCUGUUGUUAGCCUUUCUUUCUAUUAUGUUUGUUGCUUUGUAUUAGCAUUCUCUAUGCUACUUGCCCUGCAAAAUUCCAAGUUUCCAUUUUUAUUAAAGAUGGCAUUCGGGUAUUUGGAAAUAUUAAUUAUCUGAUCUUUGGCAAUUUUGCCCAGCAGAAUUAAGCUAAUUUUAUGGUUCUAUCUUUAAUUAAUGCAUGACUGAGCAAUGCUUCCUUUACAGGUCAGUUUCCUGUUUCUUUGUCAUGGAUGGAUGUAUUUAUUGGAAAAUGGGACAAAGUAACUUAAUACAAAGAAAUUUUACAUUUGAUUUUCUAUGCCUUUUAGAUCACCUCUAAUUUUAAGAUUGAUUGCAAAUGCCUUUUUUCAUUUUUUACAACUUUUUCUGACCAACAAUUUAUUUGUUACAUAUAUGUUUUAUUUUAUUUUAAUCGUUAAUUGUAUGUCACUAAUGCUUAAUUGUUAUAAUUUUUUACAUAAAUGUUUUUUUUUUACUCGAGGCUAAGAAGUUAGCAUCACAAUAUCAAAAGGAAGCGGACAAAUGCAAUUCGGGUAUGGAGACGUGCGAAGAAGUAAGGGAGAAAGCUGAAGAAGCACUAUCGGCUCAAAUGAAAUUAACAGCAAUGUGGGAAAUAAGAGCUCGUCAGAAAGGGUGGAGAGAAAAGGUCGCCAAAUCUAAUGCAUUUCCUUAUUUUAUUUAAGUAAAUGUCUUAUUUUAUUGAUAUUUUUAUAUUUAAUCUAGUUUUUAUUAUUUAUUUUAGUUUUGAUUCUAAAUUUUUUAUUUUUAUUUUAAUAUUUAAGAUAACUUGAGUUCUAACUUUUAGAUUUUAAUUGUGU
rnacentral:lncRNA from 1 species